UGGAGAGAACAGGAAGGGUAUAAAAAGAGUCUCAGAAAUUCGAACAGGAGUUGGAGUUGAAUCGUUUCAGGCCGAUCCGGCGGGCAGUGUAGAGGUUUGGGCAGAGUCAGCAUUGGUGAAGGCAGAGGGACUUCACGGGGUGAAGAAGGAGACAAGGACACUAGCAACUGGGCUGAGUAUACAACAUUUAUUGAUGUUUGAUGAGACCAUCUAUAUAUAAACUACUGAUGUGUUGGAGUCACAGUCAUAGGAAGUACUCACCGGAAGUAACGUCAAGGGCGAUCUCCAGCAACGGAAAACCGAUGGUGUGAAGAGGAUUGGACAGCUAGAAGGAGAAGGAGACAAAGGAAGAGUGUUAUCGUUCAUUUGUGAGUACUAUUGGACAGUGCAUUGUACAUCAUUGGGGAGAGUGCAUUAUCCAGCAUAUGUUGUGAGCAUCUGGUAAAUAGGCCAGCGGCCCCAUUACGGAGCAGAGUUUUGGGUGAGCCGGGAAGUACGAGUACAGGAAGCCGCAAGCAGUCGUGACGGCAACGUUAUUCCUCCGGCCCUUCAUCUAUCAACAACGCCCAACGAAACCCCAGGAUAAGUCCUAGUAAACCGUGGUUCUGACCCUAUUUCACGUAGAGUGUGUGGAGUGCAGUGGGUGAGUCCUUGUCUUUGCUGUGAGUGUGUACACUUGAAAUCUUGCAGUGUUAUGCUGUGGUUGUGUUGUCAGUAGCCACCCUAGACUGGAUGAGUCGUGGGGGAGACCAGGACCAUUGAGGCUGGUGAAGCGCCAUUUUCAUCUAAAUGCCAUUUUGCGACCCCUGCAUGGAGACCCAAAUGUAACGUCCUGUCUAGACCCUUUCGGAAUACCCUGGCUCUGUGGAAGCGGUGGUGAAGAAUACACGUAAGCAAGACUGGUGUGAGUAAAAGCCAAAAUUAUACCUAUAUGCAAGAAGGAAGUUUUACUGUUGCAAAUUAGCUGUGUGGAUUUACUUUACCUGUUGUGGAGCCUCUUCAAAGGUUCACCCCGGUCCAGAUCCCUUAAACUGCAAAUAGAAGAGAGGAGAGGGAAGCGUUCGGGCCGGUGCGACAGUGUUUAACUUUCCCCGACGCACAGGAAAUCCCUGUGGAGGCCUGCGCUACGACGAUUUACUACUCCAGUGCCAUUGGAGUUCUGUGUCGCGGGUUGGCGCUCACCUCGGAGUGUGCAGAAGGGGAGGCGCCGCCCGAGCACCCUGUACGAAGAGAUCGGAGGAACAAGUCGUUUAUCAGCCAGUCGUAUGGACCCAAGUAACAGGUAGCCACUCUCACCGGAUCGAUUACUCAUUGUGUGUUUCACUCUGCCUUCAGGAGAAAAGGGCGCCACGAGUCAACAAAAGCCCAAAGCGACAUACUAACCCUCGCCGCAUAGUCCUCUCCGGCCCCUUUCUCCUCCUGCUGAACAGAGACGAUAAUUUUAAGAUUUACCUCCCCCUCCCUGAAUUAUUUUAAUUUAAAUAAAGUUGUUUUAAUAUUA